GAUGAACGCUGGCGGCGUGCCUAAUACAUGCAAGUCGAGCGAACAGAUGAGGAGCUUGCUCCUCUGACGUUAGCGGCGGACGGGUGAGUAACACGUGGAUAACCUACCUAUAAGACUGGGAUAACUUCGGGAAACCGGAGCUAAUACCGGAUAAUAUAUUGAACCGCAUGGUUCAAUAGUGAAAGCCGGUUUUGCUGUCACUUAUAGAUGGAUCCGCGCCGCAUUAGCUAGUUGGUAAGGUAACGGCUUACCAAGGCGACGAUGCGUAGCCGACCUGAGAGGGUGGUCGGCCACACUGGAACUGAGACACGGUCCAGACUCCUACGGGAGGCAGCAGUAGGGAAUCUUCCGCAAUGGGCGAAAGCCUGACGGAGCAACGCCGCGUGAGUGAUGAAGGUCUUCGGAUCGUAAAACUCUGUUAUUAGGGAAGAACAAAUGUGUAAGUAACUAUGCACGUCUUGACGGUACCUAAUCAGAAAGCCACGGCUAACUACGUG
rnacentral:rRNA from 1 species